GCUUAGGGCGUGCGCGUAGAGGGGGUAAUAGGGGUGCGGUGAGCGGUGUGCGGAAUUAAUGUGCGGAAAGUGUGUGUAGGUGGCGCGCUAAGUCAGACGUGAAAUCCCGCAGCGCAACGUGGGAACUGCGUCGGAGACGGGCAAGCUCGAGUACAGGAGAGGAACGCGGAAGUUCAGGUGGAGCGGUGAAAUGCGUAGAUAUCUGGAGGAACACCGGUGGCGAAGGCGGCGUUCUGGACUGCAACUGACACUGAGAAACGAAAGCCAGGGGAGCAAACGGGAUUAGAUACCCUGGUAGUC
rnacentral:rRNA from 1 species